GAUAAUAGGACAAUGGUUGUGAGGAUAUUGUGACCCUGGACUUGUUAGUUUAUAUAACAGACUUCCUUUACAACAUCCAGUAAACAUGAAAAGGCUGCCCUGGCUUGCCCCAGAACUUCACUCAGACCUGUCAUCUGUCACCGCCCAGUCAGAAGUUUAUGCAUAUGGUACAACUCUAUGGCAGAUGUUCUCAAUGGGCUUGAGCCCCAUUGAACAUGAUCCAAAGUUAAAGAGGAAAACACCAGAACAGAUUGUUAAGUUUUUUGCCGAUGGUGAUAUUUUUAA